CAAAGGCUUAGUCCUGGCUUUAACAUCAGCUUUAAUCACACUUACACAUGCAAGUCUCCGCACCCCUGUGCAAAUGCCCUUUUCUUUCCUCCCGAAAACAAGGAGCUGGUAUCAGGCACAAAUACAUUUAGCCCACGACACCUUGCUUAGCCACACCCCCAAGGGGCUCCAGCAGUGAUAGACAUUAAGCCAUAAGUGAAAACUUGACUUAGUUAAGAUUACUAGAGUCGGUCAAGCUCGUGCCAGCCACCGCGGCUAUACGGGCGACUCAAGUUGAUGAACACCGGCGUAAAGCGUGGUUAGGAAAAUUAUAGACUAAAGCCGAAUACUCCCCCUGCUGUCAUACGCACUCGAGAGAAAGAAGCCCAAUUACGAAAGUAGCUUUACCCUUUCCGACCCCACGAAAGCUGUGGAACAAACUGGGAUUAGAUACCCCACUAUGCACAGCAGUAAACUUAGAUAAAAAUUUACACUUCUUAUCCGCCCGGGAACUACGAGCAUUAGCUUAAAACCCAAAGGACUUGGCGGUGCUUAACAUCCACCUAGAGGAGCCUGUUCUAUAACCGAUAACCCCCGUUAAACCUCACCUUCCCUUGCAAUUUCCGCCUAUAUACCGCCGUCGUCAGCCUACCCUAUGAAGGCCCCACAGUUAGCAAAAAUGGUAAACCCUAAAACGCCAGGUCGAGGUGUAGCAUAUGAGAAGGGCAGAAAUGGGCUACACUCCUUAUCUAUAAGGAAUACGAACAAUGUGUUGAAAUACAUGUCAUGAAGGAGGAUUUAGUAGUAAGCAGGAAAUAGAGUGUUCUGCUGAAUCUGGCCCUAAAGCGCGCACACACCGCCCGU
rnacentral:ncRNA from 1 species